GCAACACAAUAGCUCAGUUGGCUACAGCGUGGUUCUGAUAACGCCAAGGCUGCAGGUUCGAUCCCUGUAUGGGGCAGCU